AUAUUUACCUGACAGGGGAGAUGCCAUGAUCACGAAGGUGGUUUUCCCAGGGUAAGGGUCAUCCAUUGCACUCCGGAUGUGCUGACCCCUGCGAUUUCUCCAAAUGUGGGAAACUCGACUGCAUAAUUUGUGGUAGUGGGGGACUGCGUUUGUACUUUCCCCUG
ensembl:snRNA U1 U1 spliceosomal RNA